rnacentral:rRNA from 1 species
CCUACGUGUGGCAGCAGUGGGGAAUAUUGCGCAAUGGGCGAAAGCCUGACGCAGCGACGCCGCGUGAGGGAUGAAGGUCUUCGGAUCGUAAACCUCUGUCAGCAGGGAAGAACGGUCACUGUGCUAAUCAGCAGUGAAUUGACGGUACCUGCAAAGGAAGCACCGGCUAACUCCGUGCCAGCAGCCGCGGUAAUACGGAGGGUGCGAGCGUUAAUCGGAAUUACUGGGCGUAAAGCGCUCGUAGGCGGUAUGUCAAGUCAAGGGUGAAAUCCCCGCGCUCAACGUGGGAACUGCCUUUGAAACUGGCAAACUGGAGUGUGUGAGAGGAUAGUGGAAGUCCAGGUGGAGGAGUGAAAUCCGUAGAUAUCUGGAGGAACAUCAGUGGCGAAGGCGACUAUCUGGCACAUAACUGACGCUGAGGAGCGAAAGCGUGGGUAGCAAACAGGAUUAGAUACCCCAGUAGUC